rnacentral:rRNA from 1 species
UGGGGGAUAUUGCGCAAUGGGGGCAACCCUGACGCAGCAACGCCGCGUGAAGGAUGAAGGUUUUCGGAUUGUAAACUUCUUUUAUUAAGGACGAAAAUUGACGGUACUUAAUGAAUAAGCUCCGGCUAACUACGUGCCAGCAGCCGCGGUAAUACGUAGGGAGCAAGCGUUGUCCGGAUUUACUGGGUGUAAAGGGUGCGUAGGCGGCUUUGCAAGUCAGAUGUGAAAUCUAUGGGCUCAACCCAUAAACUGCAUUUGAAACUGUAGAGCUUGAGUGAAGUAGAGGCAGGCGGAAUUCCCCGUGUAGCGGUGAAAUGCGUAGAGAUGGGGAGGAACACCAGUGGCGAAGGCGGCCUGCUGGGCUUUAACUGACGCUGAGGCACGAAAGCGUGGGUAGCAAACAGGAUUAGAUACCCUGGUAGUCCACGCUGUAAACGAUGAUUACUAGGUGUGGGGGGUCUGACCCCUUCCGUGCCGGAGUUAACACAAUAAGUAAUCCACCUGGGGAGUACGGCCGCAAGGUUGAAACUCAAAGGAAUUGACGGGGGCCCGCACAAGCAGUGGAGUAUGUGGUUUAAUUCGAAGCAACGCGAAGAACCUUACCAGGUCUUGACAUCCAACUAACGAAGUAGAGAUACAUUAGGUGCCUUUCGGGGAAAGUUGAGACAGGUGGUGCAUGGUUGUCGUCAGCUCGUGUCGUGAGAUGUUGGGUUAAGUCCCGCAACGAGCGCAACCCUUACUGUUAGUUGCUACGCAAGAGCACUCUAGCAGGACUGCCGUUGACAAAACGGAGGAAGGUGGGGAUGACGUCAAAUCAUCAUGCCCCUUAUGACCUGGGCCUCACACGUACUACAAUGGCUGUCAACAGAGGGAAGCAAAGCCGCGAGGUGGAGCGAACCCCUAAAAGCAGUCUUAGUUCGGAUUGUAGGCUGCAACCCGCCUACAUGAAGUCGGAAUUGCUAGUAAUCGCAGAUCAGCAUGCUGCGGUGAAUACGUUCCC